UGGAUCCAGACUUUGAUUAUGGCUCAGGAUGAACGCUAGCUACAGGCUUAACACAUGCAAGUCGAGGGGAAACGACAUCGAAAGCUUGCUUUUGAUGGGCGUCGACCGGCGCACGGGUGAGUAACGCGUAUCCAACCUGCCCACCACUUGGGGAUAACCUUGCGAAAGUAAGACUAAUACCCAAUGAUAUCUCUAGAAGACAUCUGAAAGAGAUUAAAGAUUUAUCGGUGAUGGAUGGGGAUGCGUCUGAUUAGCUUGUUGGCGGGGUAACGGCCCACCAAGGCUACGAUCAGUAGGGGUUCUGAGAGGAAGGUCCCCCACAUUGGAACUGAGACACGGUCCAAACUCCUACGGGAGGCAGCAGUGAGGAAUACUGGUCAAUGGACGAGAGUCUGAACCAGCCAAGUAGCGUGCAGGAUGACGGCCCUAUGGGUUGUAAACUGCUUUUAUAAGGGAAUAAAGUGAGUCUCGUGAGACUUUUUGCAUGUACCUUAUGAAUAAGGACCGGCUAAUUCCGUGCCAGCAGCCGCGGUAAUACGGAAGGUCCGGGCGUUAUCCGGAUUUAUUGGGUUUAAAGGGAGCGUAGGCCGGAGAUUAAGCGUGUUGUGAAAUGUAGAUGCUCAACAUCUGCACUGCAGCGCGAACUGGUUUCCUUGAGUACGCACAAAGUGGGCGGAAUUCGUGGUGUAGCGGUGAAAUGCUUAGAUAUCACGAAGAACUCCGAUUGCGAAGGCAGCUCACUGGAGCGCAACUGACGCUGAAGCUCGAAAGUGCGGGUAUCGAACAGGAUUAGAUACCCUGGUAGUCCGCACGGUAAACGAUGGAUGCCCGCUGUUGGUCUGAAUAGGUCAGCGGCC
rnacentral:rRNA from 1 species